rnacentral:rRNA from 1 species
UGGUGGAGUGAUUUGUCUGGUUAAUUCCGAUAACGAACGAGACCCCGUCCUACUUACUAGACCGAGGAUCCUCUCGUUCUCGCUGUCUUCUUAGAGGGACAACUGCUUAAACCUUGAACUACAUGAAAUGGGGCAAUAACA